rnacentral:rRNA from 1 species
AUUCCGGUUGAUCCUGCCGGAGGCCAUUGCUAUUGGAGUCCGAUUUAGCCAUGCUAGUCGCACGAGUUCAGACUCGUGGCGAACAGCUCAGUAACACGUGGCCAAUCUCCCCCACAGCGACGGACACCCUCGGGAAACUGAGGCCAAUCCGCCAUACACCUCUCACGCUGGAGUGCCGAGAGGCUCAAACGCUCUUCGGAGUGCUGUGGGAUGAGGCUGCGGCCGUAUUAGGUAGACGGUGGGGUAACGGCCCACCGUGCCCAUAAUCGGUACGGGUCGUGUAAAGCGAGAACCCGGUAGACGGAAUCUGAGACAAGAUUCCGGGCCCUACGGGGCGCAGCAGGCGCGAUAACCUUUACACUGCACGCCAGUGCGAUAAGGGGACUCCAAGUGCGAGGGCAUAUCGUCCUCGCUGUCCUGUACUGUAGGGUAGUACAGAAGCAAGGGCUGGGCAAGACCGGUGCCAGCCGCCGCGGUAAUACCGGCAGCCCAAGUGAUGGCCACUCUUAUUGGGCCUAAAGCGUCCGUAGCU